CACCAAUCUUUUUACUCUAAUUCAGCCAUGGGGGUUUUUAAAAUUGAAUUCUGAGCAAAUGAGAAAAUUUUUACCUCUUUUGGCAAUCGAGAAUGGCUCUGGCGCGACGGUGGGUGGCGGCUGCUUUCCUUCCUAGUGGCUGGGUCUUCUUCUCCAGUGAGGGUGUCUAGUGGCUAGGGUUGGGGUUUGGUGUGAAGAGAGUUAUUUAUAUCUGUUCUCUUUUAAUCUGGGCCAUCUAUCACGUUUGAUCUAGACUAUUCGAUCGCAAUGAAAUAGGGAGUGAAUCUGGACCGUUCAUCGCAAUCUGAUCUAGGCUAUUCGAUCGCGUUUAAAUAGGAAGUGGAUAUGGACCACUUGCUGCAUAUGUGGGAGUGCCCGAGGAAUCAGAACCAAGCCAAACCUCCUAGCCAGGGCAGGGCUUACAACCUCACGCAGCAGGAUGCAGAAGCUAACUCAGACGCGAGGCAGGGUACGUACACUAUCUGUAAUCAUCUUGCACAUAUUUUGAUUGAUACUGGUGCCUCACAUUCAUUUGUUUCACAAGCUUUUACAUCAAAUUUGAAUGUAUUACCUGAAAGACUUAAUUCUGUAUUGUUUGUGUCUACUCCUAUGAGUAGGACACUACUGGGGAAGGUU
rnacentral:lncRNA from 1 species